rnacentral:rRNA from 1 species
AGUAGCAUAUCGCCCUGUAGCCCAAGACUGGUUGCCCACUGAAGCUAAGCAGGGUUGAGCUGGUCAGUACCUGGAUGGGAGACCUCCUGAGAAAACUAGGUUGCUGCUU